rnacentral:rRNA from 1 species
GGGUCAGUAGGUUGGUCGUGCCACCGGUACGUACUGGUCUCACUGAUUCCUCCUUCCUGAAGAACCGUAAUGCCAUUAAUUUGGUGUUGCGGGGAAACAGGACUGUUACUUUGAAAAACUUAGAGUGUUUAAAGCAAGCUAACGCUUGAAUACAUUAGCAUGGAAUAAUGAAAUAGGACGAUCGAUCCUAUUUUGUUGGUUUCUAGGAUUGACUUA